CUGUAUGUAUGCUAGUUUUCUUUCUUACCGUUAGGGAAUUAUUCUGUCAAUUGUUGAAGAUUGAAAUGUCAAAUCAAAUUUAUAUGUUUCAUUAAUUUUAUUUAAUUUAUUUUUAUUUCUAAAGAAUUUUGAUUCAUUCUUAAUUUGAAAUUUGAAUGUCUUAAGUUCUUAGCUCAUGAAAAGUCUUCCUUGCACAAUAAACAGUUUAAAUUGAAAGCAGGUCUUCAUAAGGAGCCUAUUAGCGGCUAUAAAUGUAGAAAAGAUGAACUCAAUUGGUAUAUUAAGAAAAUGGGUACCAAGAUAACUUUGUUUCUCGGGCAGGUUUUCUUGAUUUUCAUUCUCCUCUUGGCCUCUGCAAUGGGAGUAAGGGAUCUGCUAGAGUCUUCCAAGCCUCAUGUGACUGUCAAGGCGAUGGAUGAUCCUUGGGAUGGCCACUAUAGGACUACGACGCCUCCUGCCGUUCAUUAACUUCUUUUAAUGCAAUCUUCCGGUGGAAAAUCCCCUAAUUUUAAUUUGCAAUGCUUAAUUAAUUAAAUAAUUAUAAGAAAGGAAUAAUGAAGAUCAUUUGCUACAAUAAUUUAAUAUCUGCAAGUGGAUCUGUCUGCUGGAGUUCUUUCCUGGAUUCUGCCAAGCUAGCUCCCUCAAUUGCUAUUGGCGAUAUCUUCUAUCUGCUCGCUGAAGUUCUGAUGUGAUCUUUGCCUUGUCUGGACUUGUAAAUUGUUGCUUAUUUAGAAUAAAAACGAAAAUGGAUGGUUUAUCUAAAACUUUACGAUA